GGAUUCAUCAACAUGGAAAAUCAUGCGCUUGGCCUUUACAUAUUUUUGAAUCAUUGCUGCAAAAAAGCAUCGAAGAGUGCGAGGAGCCGACAAAUAUGUGGAUUACGCAAAAGAUUUCCGAAAUAUUAGCUUCAGCAGAAUCUUUCCAGGACAUUGUAUUGAAGCAUCAAAUUUCGAUAACAAACGGAGACCUGAAUGCUAGAUUUUCAGGUGAUUGCAAUGAUCCUGAACAGCCAGGCC